rnacentral:misc_RNA from 1 species
AACGCACCUUGCGCCCUUUGGCUAUUCCGAAGGGCAUGCCUGUUUGAGUAUCAAGAGCACCUCAACUCCUCAUGGCUUGCCAUGAUGAGCUUGGACCCUGGGGGUUUUGCUGGCUCAUGGUCAGCUCCUCUCAAAUGGAUCAGCUCGCCAGUGUUUGGUGGCAUCACAGGUGUGAUAAUUAUCUACGCUUGUGAUUUCCUCACCAGGCAACCUUUAGUGAUGGAGGUUCACUGGAGCUCAUAAAUGUCUCUCCUCAGCGAAGACAGCUUUUGAACGUUUGAUCUCAAAUCAGGUAGGACUACCCGCUGAACUUAA